GUUGGUGAACCAGCGGAGGGAUCAUUACCGAGUUAUACUCCAAACCCUUUGUGAACCUACCAAUUGUUGCUCGGCGCGCAGCGGGGUGGCCUAACCGCCCCCCGCGACGCGCCAGAGGACCCAAAUUCUUAUCUUACAGCGUACCUUCUGAUUAAAAAGACAAACAGUCAAAACUUUCAACAACGGAUCUCUUGGUUCUGGCAUCGAUGAAGAACGCAGCAUCUGACUGACUAAGAUUCGGCGCAUCUCG
rnacentral:misc_RNA from 1 species